rnacentral:rRNA from 1 species
AGCAGUAGGGAAUCUUCCGCAAUGGACGAAAGUCUGACGGAGCAACGCCGCGUGAGUGAAGAAGGUUUUCGGAUCGUAAAACUCUGUUGUUAGAGAAGAACAAGGAUGAGAGUAACUGUUCAUCCCUUGACGGUAUCUAACCAGAAAGCCACGGCUAACUACGUGCCAGCAGCCGCGGUAAUACGUAGGUGGCAAGCGUUGUCCGGAUUUAUUGGGCGUAAAGCGAGCGCAGGCGGUUUCUUAAGUCUGAUGUGAAAGCCCCCGGCUCAACCGGGGAGGGUCAUUGGAAACUGGGAAACUUGAGUGCAGAAGAGGAAAGUGGAAUUCCAUGUGUAGCGGUGAAAUGCGCAGAGAUAUGGAGGAACACCAGUGGCGAAGGCGACUUUCUGGUCUGUAACUGACGCUGAGGUGCGAAAGCGUGGGGAGCAAACAGGAUUAGAUACCCCGGUAG